rnacentral:rRNA from 1 species
AGAUCAAAUUGUUGGUCGUGCCUUGGUACGUACUGACAUUAUUGGUUUCUCCCUUCUGAAGAACCAUGAUGUCAUUAAUUUGGUGUCAUGGGGAAUCAGGACUGUUACUUUGAAAAAAUUAGAGUGUUUAAAGCAGGCUCGCGCUUGAAUACAUUAGCAUGGAAUAAUGAAAUAGGACGUUCGAUCCUAUUUUGUUGGUUUCUAGGAUUGACGUA